GACGAACGCUGGCGGCGUGCUUAACACAUGCAAGUCGAACGGAAAGGCCCUGCUUUUGUGGGGUGCUCGAGUGGCGAACGGGUGAGUAACACGUGAGUAACCUGCCCUUGACUUUGGGAUAACUUCAGGAAACUGGGGCUAAUACCGGAUAGGAGCUCCUGCUGCAUGGUGGGGGUUGGAAAGUUUCGGCGGUUGGGGAUGGACUCGCGGCUUAUCAGCUUGUUGGUGGGGUAGUGGCUUACCAAGGCUUUGACGGGUAGCCGGCCUGAGAGGGUGACCGGCCACAUUGGGACUGAGAUACGGCCCAGACUCCUACGGGAGGCAGCAGUGGGGAAUAUUGCACAAUGGGCGGGAGCCUGAUGCAGCAACGCCGCGUGCGGGAUGACGGCCUUCGGGUUGUAAACCGCUUUCGCCUGUGACGAAGCGUGAGUGACGGGAAUGGGUAAAGAAGCACCGGCUAACUACGUG
rnacentral:rRNA from 1 species